GAAUUGCUCCUCCUUCUAAAUCUCGGCAUUCCCUGGUAGGCAGAGGAGAGUGGAUCGGCACGAUGGGCAGAGAGAGAAGGGUCAUGAACUGAACUUCAUUGCCUUCACCGUCGUCUUCCUCUGCUGCUACAGCUCCGAGAGAGAAUCUGAAUACUUGGAUAUCUCGAACGUGAUAUGAAGUCUGAUGAAAAAAUAUCUUUUAUACGGGCAGUUAUGCCUAUCACGGGUCUGUCAACACAGGUCUCGAAUUGGCUGAGGAAAGCCAUGAAUCUUGGUCGUCCAAGUACGCUGAUUGAAGAGUGGCAGGAGCUUAGUUGAUUGAGUGAACAAGUCUUACACGUACCUGCAGUUCGCCUCGGAAAUAAAAACCCAGGCUACCUUCGAAAUUUGCCUUUUACACUAUUUUUGCUUUUGCCAUAAAUGCAUGUAAUAUUCGUUAGGUAUUGUAUCAUUAUCUCCCAUAUAUAUUCACGUCUACCUAUAUCUUUGACAACUUCUCAAAUCUUUUUUAGAUGACACUCA